GACGAACGCUGGCGGCGUGCUUAACACAUGCAAGUCGAGCGGUAAGGCCCUUUCGGGGGUACGACGAGCGGCGAACGGGUGAGUAACACGUGGGUGACCUGCCCUCAGCUCUGGGAUAAGCCUGGGAAACCGGGUCUAAUACCGGAUAUGACUCCAUGACGCAUGUUGUGGGGUGGAAAGCCUUGUGCGGCUGAGGAUGGGCCCGCGGCCUAUCAGCUUGUUGGUGGGGUGAUGGCCUACCAAGGCGACGACGGGUAGCCGGCCUGAGAGGGCGACCGGCCACACUGGGACUGAGACACGGCCCAGACUCCUACGGGAGGCAGCAGUGGGGAAUUUUCCGCAAUGGGCGAAAGCCUGACGGAGUGACGCCGCGUGUGGGACGAAGGCCUUCGGUCGGUAACC
rnacentral:rRNA from 1 species